rnacentral:rRNA from 1 species
CCUACGGGGGGCAGCAGUGGGGAAUAUUGGACAAUGGGGGCAACCCUGAUCCAGCCAUGCCGCGUGUGAGAAGAAGGCCCUCGGGUUGUAAAGCACUUUCAGUGAGGAAGAACGCCUGGUGGUUAAUACCCAUCAGGAAAGACAUCACUCACAGAAGAAGCACCGGCUAACUCCGUGCCAGCAGCCGCGGUAAUACGGAGGGUGCGAGCGUUAAUCGGAAUUACUGGGCGUAAAGCGCGCGUAGGUGGCUUGAUAAGCCGGUUGUGAAAGCCCCGGGCUCAACCUGGGAACGGCAUCCGGAACUGUCAAGCUAGAGUGCAGGAGAGGAAGGUAGAAUUCCCGGUGUAGCGGUGAAAUGCGUAGAGAUCGGGAGGAAUACCAGUGGCGAAGGCGGCCUUCUGGACUGACACUGACACUGAGGUGCGAAAGCGUGGGUAGCAAACAGGAUUAGAUACCCGAGUAGUC